UGUUCUAAUGAAGGAUAGGAUCAAGGGUCUGGGCAUGCUUAUAAGUGUGCUACCACUGAGCUACACCUGUACUCUAAUUUUUUGUUUUGUUUUUGUUUAUCAUAACAGGUUUUCACUAUGGAACCCUGGCUGUACUAGAACUCACUCUGUAGACCAGGAUACCUCUGCCUCUCAAGUUGCUGGGAUUAAAGGGUCUCACAUAGCCAAGGAUGGCUCAAGCUCACCAUGUAGCAGAUGUUGGUCUUGAACUCCUGACCUUCUUACCUCUACCUCCCAAAUCCUGGGAUUACAGGUGCCAGGUCCCCUGGAAUUGGAGCAUCAGAAAGCUGUCUCGGCCCAGCUGUUUCCUUCUUUACUUCAGGCCACGAGACUGACAACUCAGCAAAAGCCCUCCGACACAAAGAUAUUACCGCUUUAACCUGAUGCCACCUUGACAGCAGCUGGCAGGAGGGACCACGGCAAGACCUCACACAUCAGGGACCAGGUGGUAGCCUCACAAGAAAAAGAACAAACAAAGAUGGUCUGGAUUUCAGAGGAAGAAGUGAGGGGCAAGGGUGGGGAGAAGGAAGCGCCUGGAAGCCCCUAUUUGAAACCAACCCAAAAUCUUAGGGGCAGUUCCCAGCUCCAGUUUAUAACGAUAACUGAUGCUACAGAGUUACCUUCAAAUAAAUGAUCUCAUGAUAAAUAAUACUUCCAUAGUCCCUCCUAGACAUAAGAAACUCUGGAGGCUGAUGGACACUAAGUAAAAUGCUCAAAAAUACUAGGUUGUAGAGGAUAGGCCCAUAUUUCUACCUAAGGCACAGAUUCAAAAAAUUUCCUGGAGCUCUUGAAGCCACGCUUUUCCUGCCUGGUGAGAAAGUAUUAACAGCUAUCUCCCUCAGAGGACACACACCCAUUCAGAACCAGGUUCCACUCACUUUUGUAUUCCCAAGAUAUCAACGCUUUUUUGGCACCCAGAAAGUCCACAGCUAACUCAUGUAGGACUGUGGCCUUCAGAUGUUGAGGAUGGGACACUGAGCAUAUUUUACCCUCUUCAGGCAAAUCAUCUUUGUUUAAACUUUAGUGGAAUUCUAUG